CUACCAAGACAGUGACGGUUGACGGGGAAUCAGGGUUCUGUACCGGAGAGGGAGCCUGAGAGACAGCUCCCACGUCCAAGGACGGCAGCAGGCGCGAAAAUUGCCCACUGUUUGCAGGAGGCAGUUAUGGGACGUGAGGGAGAUAGACGUGCAAAGAGCGUGUGGAGAAUUGGAGAGCAAGUUUGGUGCCAGCAGCCGCGGUAAUACCGACUCCAAGAGUGUGUGUGAGAGAUGCUGCAGUUAAAAAGUCCGUAGUCUUUAGUAGAGAAAGGGGGCAGUAUGCCUUGUUGAUGGAGAUGGAGGAACCGAUGGGGAGCACAGUAUACCAGGGCGAGAGAUGAAAUGCCAAGACCCCUGGUGGACACGGCGAGGCGAAGGCGGUGCUCUUGUAGGUGUCCGGUGAUCAAGGACGAAGGCUGGAGUAUCGAAAGUGAUUAGAUACCGCAGUAGUUCCAGCAGUAAAAGAUGCC
rnacentral:rRNA from 1 species